CAAAUACAGAAGAGGUUUAUAUUCUUGUCACAGGGGGCAUAUUGGCUUAGCAGAUAAUUAAGUACUGCUUGGUAAAGGAUACCGAGGGAGCAAGUUACUGAGACAGGAUAUAGGAAACGUGAUGAUUUUGUUGAGUGCUGCUGUGGAGCACAAAGUCACUAAUGUGAUCCCUAACAGGGAAUUAAAUUGUAGAUCUCCCUCUAUGUGUGUAAUGAAAAAAGGGCUGGUCUCUGCAGAGUACUAAGUGUGGGUACCGAUGGGUUUGUAUUGCAGACCUCCUGGCAGUUAAGUACAUUGCCACAGCAAGCAGAUCUCUUGGCUUUACAAAGCAUGGACUCCUUGAGUUGUCAUUGCUGCUAAGAAAAGAUCAGUUUUCAUGAACGGAGUACCAAGGUAAGUGCUAUAGGUCUUCAGGGCCAUAUGAGCGCUCCUGCACUGGAUUUAUGCUGCAAUUCCUAGGGCGCUUCAGGGAUUAAUAGUCAAAUCAGUGUUGGUGGUGCUGGUGGUUUAAAUCCAAUGAUCCAGGCUAAACUGGUGCCUGGGGAAGCCAAUCUCCUCCAACAGCUCUACAUCUUCAUUUCUUAAUUUAUCUUCAGAUGUAAUGUCUGAGGGAGCGAGAUCAGCGUGUGUGAGUCCCAGCAAGAAGGCUCUGCAUCCGGGGUCAAGAAUCCCAUCAAAUAAAUGUGAAAAAGAUUAGGCAAAGAAACUGAGAAACCAGAGAAUAUACAAAGACAGCUUGUAGAUGAAAGAGAGUCGGCUCAGAGAAAUGAGAAAAGAUGAGUAAAAUGUGAAUAUAAAAUUAAGUGGAAAUAUGGAAACGAAAUAAUUAGAAUGCAUGUUUCCAAAUGUGCAGCGUCACCUGCUCCACCUGUCUUAGUGUCUUAGACUUUUGAAGCUUUUUACUUCAAGAUCACCUUGGAAUAGGUUUAUAGUGAUAUAAAUCCCUAAUAUAUAUUAUUAAUACUAAGUUAUAGAUGUCAACGUUGGCAUUUCUUGUUCUAUUAAAUCUGUGUAUGGCUUUAGUUAUUGCUCUCUAAAAAUAAUUUAAGAAAAAACUAUGCAAAAACCCAACAUUGAAGCAAUCUGACUGUGUGCACUAGGGGGCCACAUUGCUGUACCUGUAGGUACUGUUGAAUUACAGUGAUGAGGAAAAAAAUCCCACGUGCGGGUGAGGCUGGGUAACAGCAGUGUCCUGGGGAAAGUUGAGUGAAUGUGGGGGCAAUUACAGAAAAAGCUUUGUAUCGAGAGUCACAGAGAGCUAAAACUUGAGACGUAAAAUGACUGAAGACAGUAAUUAAAGACAUUUUUGUGGCACAAGAAUGGAAGGUAAGUUUUUUUAAAAAAAGUAAUUAUGAACUGAAGCGAGAGGUGAGCAGAAGUAUGUGAAGUUAACGGAUGUGUGUAAAAAGUGACUGAGCUAUAAUCACUGUUAUGCUUUUGCUGAUUGUUAUUGAUGCAGGAAAUAAAUACCGUAAUUCUCCAGAGGGACUGUCUCAGCAAGAAUUUGAGAUCUGAAGAUCAGUGUAGUUUAUUCCUCAUGGCCAAAUUGUAUUAGCAGCUGAACUUGGCCCGUAGGGACAGCUGUACUGGUGAAAAUAAUGUCCAUUUAACCCCCCCCGAUCUGAUUUCCUCUAUCCAAAUAUCAAUUUCCAGCCCCUUUCCUAGGUUGUGCUGAAACAGCACGCAGCCAAGUCCCACGGCUGUCCCGCCACCUCCUGGCCACAUUUUGCCGCCUCUCCGUGGCUCCUUUUCCUCCUUCUGCUGACCUUUUUUGGUCUGGUGGGGAGCAUGGGGCCUCUUGUUUUUGGGGCCUUUGGCUGACCGUGCCCUCCAUACGUGGCUGUCUCCUAGCUCUGGCCGUGCGGAGCCAGGGCGGUGCGGCUGUGCCAUGUGCAGGAUGUUCUCUAGCAUUCCGUGCUUGCAGUUCCCUGGAAAAACGAGUCCAGGGGAGGGUCGUAUCUGGGGGGUGGCGGUGGGUGGGCAGGGGGAGAACAGCGUUCAGCUCAGCUGGGCAGAAUGAGUCGGUGAUGUUAGUAGCUUGAGUUUUCAGUUCAUAACAGUGCCAGUUUACUAGGGGAAAAUGUGAAAGUUUUGUCUGGGGAAGUGCAAACUCUUGCAUUAUGGGUUUGCUUGACUGAUUUUAGACAGCUGGAGUUGGUUAAUGAGUGUCACCUUUUGAUGUACCUGUUAUCCCACAAAUGUUUCUUUUCCAUAUAUUCUUCCGUAAGUUUUUCUGCUUUAUUAGUGCGCCUUUAACUCAUGGAUUAGGAUGAGGCGUGCCCUCCCACCCCCGCAUUUGAUAACUGUUUUUUCCAACUGAAGGUUCAUUAUUUCCUUACAGUCCUGGCUCCUUGUCACCUGAAGCUGCAGGUGUCACUUUAGGGUGAAUGAAAGAGACUGGCUUUUCUGUGUGUGAAGAAAACAAGAAAGUGCUUGGCAACAUAAUCCGAAUAUGAAUUUGGAAUACAUUGCACAGAAAUCAGAAAGCAACUGAUAAUCACAAAAUGUUUUUAGAAAAUUCCAAUUAUUUAAAUGCCGGGUUUUAAAACGAAAACAAAGCCACAAGCAGGCUUUGUUGGAAGGCUGGUUGCAGGAGCCCGGGCCCUGUCACUGGGGCUGCUCUCACUAGAGGGCAGCCCGAGACUGGGGGUUGGCUGCCGGCGCCAGCCCUGGGCAUCCCGCAGCUGGGCGCCGGCCUGCCGUGGGCUUUCUGUAUGUAUUUCUACACGUUGUUGUAAUUCAGCCAACUGUUUCGAGUCUACAUUUAAAAAUUGUUUAUUCUUUUGGAAUAAAUUUGCCUGUUUGCAGCUUUUUUUGGCAUACCGGACUCUAGUUCUCCCAUACAUCAACCUCUUCUGCAUCACAGUAAAAUUAUCAGUGGAAAGAGGAUUUUGAAGGAAUUAAAAUUCCCCACAAAUUCAAACCUUUUUUUAAAACACUAAUAUAUUCUUAUAUUGAAAUAAGAAGCUAUGUCCUUAGAAUAUCUGGAGUUAACUGCUGCUCACCAGAACUACCCAGCCUUGCCUCGCAGAGCAGUGCUAAGAAAGCAACACUUGCUCCCCAAAACAGUAACAAGGAGUCAGUAAGCAGAGGCGUUGGCAGCUGACAUUUGGUUUCCCAGUGUGCUGAGAUCACGUAUGAUCCAAACACAUGUCAGGAUGACAGACACCACUGCUGCUCCUGAACAGCUUGUAUUUACUAAUUCAUACCAGCAUUCUGCAUUCAUGUAUUAUUCCAUGACUUACAGUCUGUCUUACAGUCAUUACUUCUGCCGUUCUUUGAAUCUAGUUUAGAUCUCAUUGAAUAUUUUAUUUUAAAACAUAAUUAACAUUGGCUUAUAUGUGAUAGGGAUGUAGGAUGCAAAAUUAGUAUUAAAAAUGAUAAAUUAUGAAGUGGUACUAGUUAUUAGAGUUAUAGCAGAUUGAACAGUUUAACAUAUUACAUUUGGUUUUGGUUAAACUACAUAAAAUUGACGUAACUCAUUAAAAUUUCAAAAGAAUACAAAUAAAAAAGGUUUUAGGCUCAAAAAUCAAUUGUGUUGGAUUUUUCCUAAAAAAUGUUCAGAUGUUUUUCUAGAAAAGGGUUGUCAAAUUCUGCAGGCCUGUAUGACAUGGUUUGGUUGUCUUGACUUGGCACUUCAACCAUGGUAAGUAAGUUUUGGCCAAAAAUACGUUAGUACAUAUUGCAUGUUACUAUUCGUAAUGGAGUGCAAUAGACAGAUGAUACCUCGAUGAGCUUCCUGCUGCAGUGUGGUGGCUGCUGCAGUAUUUGUGCAUCCCUGUCAGCCAGGGCGCUUCCUCUGGUCACCUCCAAAUCUCCUGGCACUGCCAGGCCAGCCACAGGCUCAAGGACCGCACACAGCGAGCUCCUGAACAUAAAUGAGAGUUUUACCUAUGCUGUGUGUAACUCAGCCUUGGGGCUCUGGAGUGAGACAAAGGAGUUUUUGCUAGGACUAAGGUGACAGGAAGGAAGAGACACUUUUCGCACAAGGCUUGUGUUAAAAUAAUUUAUGUUUCACUGAAGCAUCUUUUGCUGUGUUUCCCAGAAAGUGCUUAAGCACUAACUGCUUGGGUCGGAGUCCAGGGAGAGGGCAUCUGCCAGCUCAGGGGGCUCUCGCUGGGACCAUGGGGCUGCUCCUGCCACCCCGACCCACAAAGGAGCAGGAGGCUGUGGCCAUGCAGGACUAUCUGCAGCGCAGCCACCUCCUGUGCAGUGCACUGUCAGCAGGUGCUUCAUGCCAAACAGCCAGCGUGCCUGGAGUUAGGAGCUGGGAUGAAAUCCCAAGAAAGUUGAAAAGGUUCAUUAAGUAAACAGAUACAAAUUUUCGUUUUUGUUCUGUAAUGAGGCAUGUUUCUCAAAGGCUUCACUAUCAGGAAGGCCCUGUUCCUGCCAGAUUCUUUCAAAGUAACACAAUUAGGCAGGCUGUCAGGAGUGAACGAUUCUUUUUAAUAAAAUGAGUCAGCUUGUGCUCUCCUUGUCCAAGUGAUGUGUUGCUGAGUCCACACACAUGAAGGCCGCAUCUGCUGAGGCACCACGUAGCUCCAGGUCCAACUGGUUUGAAUGUGUCUGUCACAACGUGCCAACUCAGGUGAGUCCUGUCCAUGGGACAUGUGUCUUCACAAGUGCAGGUUGUGCGACCCAGAGAAAAACAAGUGGAAACUAUUUGUCUGUUGGCAUUGGGCUGAAGGAGCCCUGUGAUGUCCCUUUUGCCAUAGUCAGCACCUGAACUAACAGUGUCCUGAGCUGCUGCCUCAGCCCGUAAGAGACAACAGCUGCUUUACCCAGCUGUUAUGGAGUGGUGCUUAGUCACACACGUUACCUAUAACCCUAACACUGGCUGUGACUAUGCUCGUAAUGCAUGGAGGCAGCUUUUUUUUUUGUUGGUUUUUUUUUUAAUUUAGCAUUCCUGGUAUCUACAUUAGCUUUUUAGCAACCAGUUAUAGGAGGCACUGGUGACAAUAUAAAGUUGGGCCCAAACCAUCAGAAGGAAUUCAGGCAGAUCCCCUCACUGGACUGCAACGGGAGGCACUGAGCCAUGUCCUCAGGUGUCUCUUGGCAUUUCCACUUGAAGUUUUCUUACAUGGGAGGGUGAAAAGUAGUCUCAGCAUCUGGGGGUUUUGACUCCCACUGCAGGUGAGGCCUUUAUGAGCAGUGGUCAGCUGCUUGUACAGAGCUAGUGAGGCUUCCAGCUCCACAGCUGUAAUCUGAUUUCUUCUGAACUGCUGGGCAGUGAGGGGGUUAAUGCUGCUGGCUUGCUUUGAUAAUUGGGGGGGGGGGGAAAAACCUCCAAAGCCAACAAAAAAACCCCAAACCACCCCGCUUGAGGUCAGUGCUCUAGGAAGUGCCUUUUAAAGAACAAUAACCUGGUGCAAGAGAAAAAUACUUCAUCCAUCUCUUAGGUAGAAAUCUGAUAAACCACAGAGGGAGGCAGGUGUCCAAGGAAAUAAAAGUAAUAAAUGUGGCUGCAGUUCUGGAGUGAGCUAGCCUGUCAGACUGGUAAUUAAGUGAAAGCCCCUGUCAGGAAAUGCUGGAAGCUAAUAGAUAUACAUAGAGAUGGCAAUUCAUUUGCCUCAGCAAUAUAUGUUAAUUUUAGCAAAAGAUUAAUUUAUACAUUUUGCAGUGGGACAGAAUGGUGGGGGUGAAAGCAGGAGAGCUUUCAUCAUGCCAGUGAUUAUUUCAGGUGGUAGAGAUUAUUAAGCAUUUUAUACUUCUUAAAAACGGAACACUGGGGGAGAAUGGGAGAGGGAGAAUGUUUAAUUUAAGCAGAUCCUCAAAUCAGAAUUAGCUAAUCGCAGACUUAUAACUAACCAAAACCACAUUUGCAGGCAGCUGCUGGGGAUCCUUUGCUUUGCCACAGCUCAGUAAGUACAGAGCCCUGGUUAGCAAACAGCCUGAGCUUGAGCCGCUUGGUGUUGGUGUGGUUCUUUUAAAAAAGGUUUGCAAGAGUUACACGAGUGUGAAAUUGGGAGUGCUGCAGUGGUGAAUCACACCUUUGGGAAGAACAGCUGUCACUUGAGACCAUGGCAAGCUUAGGGAUGCUUUGGUAGGUGAACAGAGGAGCUGCAGGAGAGGACUGACUUAUAUGCAAAAGCACCUGGCAAUUAUUAGCAGACUGACAUGUGCUGUCAGGGUUUGGGGCAAUGAGUAAGCCUCUGCUCAGGCCCACAGCAGCUUUAGUGAUGCGGCACUGACUGCUGACAGAGCUGCCCAGCUCCUGAUUUGUGGUUGUCCUGUUCUGGAAGAAAACUAAUUCUGAGGCCAGGUACGCAUUGAAGUGGGGGAGAUGGUCACCCGAUGCAGAGGGCAGUGAGGGGGCUGUGACCCUGCUGUGCGCAUGGGUGGGGUGUGUUUGUGUGUCACAGUCCCUCUCUGAGGUAAUUUUUGACCCUUGUGUCCAGUUUCAACUGUAUUUGUCACAGCCCUCAAGCUCUUACAUAACAGCCCUACAGUGCUCAUGCACACAGCAGAGGACAGCUAUGCCAUUAACAUUGCAUGAUCUUCCCUGUGGUGAAUCUGGCAUUGCUGGGGCUCACUGGUGCCGUGUGCCACGGCCCAGGCCCUCCACCACCGGUAGCGUGAGGUCCUGCUGGGUGCAUGGUGCUUGUCGCAAUGAGGCCCUGAGUUACACUUCCGAGUGUGGCGUUAGGGGUAUGACUAUGGGUAUUUCAGCUCUGAAACACAGGCUGCAGUGCAGCAGGCUUCUUUCUUUAAAAAAAAAAAAAAGCGCUGAUCUGUAAAAUUAUCAGCAUUGAGGCAGCAGAAGGCAAAGCAGAUUUUCCUUUGUUUUCUUCUGCCUUAGAGGAGGAAUACUUGCUUCCCCUUCAGUGUGAUUACAGCCCAUUUACCAACACUUCUUUUUGAAUUUCAGACCUAUGUUUUAGAACAGUCACAAGCAAGAAGUGUUUCCUUUCAGAGCCUGGAGCAGUCAGUGCAAGGGUGAAGUUUAUUUAACAAAAAGAAUAGUUCUAGCUGAAUUCACAUUGUGAAAUUAUAGAUCCAUUUAAAGCAAAGUAGAAAUAGUAGCGGGUUAGGGUCAGGGAAGGAAGAUCUGCUGCAAAGUGCAUCCAACAACCAUCUUCUAGGGUUUUUUUGUAGGAUGUUUUUCUUUUCUUUGUAUAAUUAUGCAAAGAAAAAGACCUAAAAAGCAAUGUGCUAGGUGCUGAAAGCAAGCUCGAGGCUUGCUCAGGGAUUGCAAGUAGAGGCAUUAUAAAUGGUGUCUCAAAUGCAUCAGCUGUUUCAGAGCUAUGGGCUCUGUCCUUCCCGUCAUGGACAGGAUGGAGGUCUGUGACCUUCCUGGCCGCACACAUGUCCCCAGUGCAGCUGGCCAGGGCAGGACCCCGCUGGGGCGCAAUCCCCACGAGGGCUGGCCCUGGCUGAGCACUCCUUGCUUUUGCACCAGUUGCCCUGAUCCCAUAGGUCUCCUCAAUCCGUUUUGUUCCAGACAGCAGCUGUCACAAAUGCACGUUUUUCACGGGAAAGAGGGUUGCUACCAGCUUUUCCUAAUGGUACUUCAUAUGUAGUUUAUUUUUGCUAAAGACACUGGCUUCUAUGUCUCCUCCCAGGCACUGCGGCAGUGUCCUUCUGCCCCUGCUCUGAGGGCUCCCCGUUAGUAUUACCGUAGCAGGAGGUGAGCUAGAAACACACCCAGGAAUAUAUUGUUAAGUCCUGCCUGUAUCAGCCCUGCAUGUUUGCCUGUAAGAGCUGUGGGAGAUGUGGAGGAGUUGGGAGAGUCAGUAUCAUUACAGGAGGGACUCCUGUGCCAGGGAGGUCAUCUUAAUGCAGCCCUCCCUAUCACUCAAGGAGUUACCUGUGGCCCUUUGAGGUGACCAAGGGGGCUUCCAGAGAUUUUAAGAGACUUUGGGGCAUGCCUUAGAGCAUCUUUGUCUUGACACUACUGAAUCCUACUGAGCCCUUCCAGAGCCUGGCAUUUAAACAGAGAUCGUGUUUAGAGUUGUCCUCUUCUUAGGAGUUAAGACAACAAAAAAAGAUAGAAAUAAUUAUUUCCCACAUUGUCUUGCAUGUAAAUAUACCAAGCUCCACAGCUAGCCCUGUUUUUGCUGCCCACACAGACAUGCGGGGUCAGUUCUGGGGGCAGAAGACAGGGAUGUUCAAGUUGCUAGUGAAGAUACAUUACCUGCAGAUUGCAGCUCAAAUUCUGCUCUGGCUCAGUAGCACCAAGACAUGUUCCUACCUUGAACAGAGGUGAUGAACAAACUGGUUGGAGCCCCUUGUUCACCUUGAGCACCGGAGGAGGAGUUUCUGCAGGCUGGCUUUGAGCACACCUUCAGAUGCAGUACGGCACUUGCGGCAGCUCCACUCCAAGGCCCUGGUGCUGCCAAGGCCUGCGAGUUUAAAAGUAGCUGAAACUCCCACAUGGCAACAUGAUUUACUAAACCACUAAGAUAUUGGGUCAGCCUUGUAAAUCAUUGUAAUUAUUUUACUGAACAGGUUGUGGAAAUAGAUCAAUAGAAAAUACGGCAUUUAGGCUUACAAUGCUGUGCAUUCAUUAUGGGAAAGAAAUUAUAUUAACUGAUUUAGGAGCUAAUAAUAACUGAAAAUAACAAUUUAAUGGAAGCCUUCCAAUCCUGCACUUUGAAAGCAAGACACAGCUACACGCAGUCUACCCAUUUUAGUAUCAGUCAAGUAUACAUAGUGAUUUUUUCGACUCUCAGAGAAAUGUCAGUCAAGUACAAGUAACUUGCAGACUUUCAGCAUCCCAUAAAUUACAUUGUAAUAAAACAAAGCCAAAGAAACUAUCAACAACCAUAUUUACAUACUGGCAGGGUCACACUCACCAGGCACAUGAAAAGUAAGACAAUGUAUUACAAUAUGGGAAAGUGGAGGUGUUGCACAGCAGGGGCUAUUUUCCACUGGCAAUUGCUAUUUCCAUGAGACUGUGGUUUGUGCUGCUGGGCUUGAAGGGCACGCACUUCUCUCUAAAAUGUUGGGGUUCUGUCUCAAACAUCUGAAUACUAAAUAUAUGCUAUAUACGUGAAAUAUACAUAAAGAGAGAGGGAGAGAAACCAGGAAAAAACUAAUCUCUCCUGUGCAGCAAAAGCCAGGUGUCAGCAUUCAGUAGUUGGGGGUCAGCAUUGCUCUAUUACAAUUAUUUUACUGUAGCUAAACUAAAUUUGGUACGCUGUGCCCUGGUUUCCUUAAUGCAUACAUGAUAGUCACCUGUGCUGUUAAAAUACUCUCUCCUGAAAUAAGCUGUGCCUUGUGACUAUUUAAUGCCUUAUUGGCCAUCGAGUAACUAUGCUGAACCAAGCAGGCACCACUGUGGGCAGAAUUUAAGCUGUAAUCAGAUAGCACACCUAUGUCACCUGCUCAUUGGAAAGCCUGCAGCCUACUGAUAGGCAGUUGUCACAUCAGCUAUCUCCACUCUGGUUUGCAGGCAGAGUUUAGCUCUUCUUUGUGCCCUCAGGCUAGAUAGCAUUUGAAUUAUGCACUUCAUCGCACCCCAAUUAGCUAGAGAUGCAUGACAAAAAUCAUUAUCAGUGUGUUUAUUUGGGAAAACACCUUAUUUUGCCAUUUGGUUCAGCAUAUUAAGAAAAACACACGCACCCUUUUUCUCCACUGAGAAAAGCUUGUUUUAGAGCAGAGUGAAACUUCGAGCUGUGGCAAAUCGUGCUGCUCCUGCUUAUUCACCUGUUCUAGCCAGCUGUUUUGGGAAUGUUAAGUGUUGCUUAAAAAAAAAUUAAUUGGCUUCAGCAUGACCACAAAACUGAGUGACCACACUCCCUGUGCAGCGUGGCUGCCUCUUACUCCCGAGACCCCACAGCAGGUGAGUUUUACCGUGUCCCCAGGUAAAUGGCCCCUGUGGCUCCCCACACCACCUCCCCGCCUGCCUUGCCAUUUUGGAAUCACACUCCCAGCUAUAAACAACAAACUGGAUGGAUGUUUUUCCCAAGCCCUGUAAAUGCAAGCAGCAACAGAUGAGCACUGAAUGAGGGGAAACAUGACGUGUGAACACAUGGUGUUUUCAUGGCACUGAACAUGAGCAGUUGCUUUCGCUGGUGCUGCUCUGCUCCAAAAACCUGCAGUGACAAGGUUUGAAUUACCCUGGGUAAUAAGCCUAAACUUGGUUGACUUUUCCAUACAUGUUUAUGACCAGGUUGACAAAUACUUUCUGAACCUAGCAAAGCGUUGCGCAUUUGGUUUUGAGAUGGUUUGCUUUAGUGAAAUGCUUUGGUCUAGCAUAAGUAGCACAAGACCUCUCUGGUCUCAGAAUAAUUAACUUCUGGGUUAAUAAAGAGAUUUUACAUUCUUGGAAAAAUAUUGCAAAAAAGUUCAGCUGCUCAUAUUUGACACUGUGGCAACCUGGAUUUAGUUCCAUUUACUCAGUCUUGUUAUUAAAUCAUGUUGCAGUUCAGGAUUUGACUGGUGCCUGCUGUGUGUUGCUAACUAGUGUUUGCUUGGGUUUGAGCUUGCCCAGUUCUGGUGGCAGCAAGGCAAGCCUUUCUUCUCUCUCUCCCUACAUGCUGAAAAACUGCAAGGUGGCCACAUCAACAAACCCACAACAGGAUCAAUACCUCCUUACGUACGCAGUUUUGGUUUCCCUGUCUUGUCAAACUCUGCUUACUUCUCUGGAGACUGAAAUGCCAGUGUUAUUAAUUAUCACAAGAUUUCACUAUAUAAGGAGUCUGGCUGCUGACUUCAGUGGGACUCGGCUAGCUCAGAUAAAAAGUCAUUAGCGCAACCAGUGACUUAACCAUAAACAGGUUCAUUUUAACCAGGAUUGCAGUUAGCACCUUGCUGUGCAUGUAACUAACUUGAGACUUUCAUACCACUACACUAUAAAAGUUGAAAUUAUAUCCAAGCACUCCAUAAAUGGAUUACACUAUUACCAUUAUUUGUAGCACUGAAUGACUGCAUUUUUACUGUCUUGCACUAAAUUAGCAUAAAUGAAUCACAAACAUGAGUGUAUUUGGUAAAGAUCAUAAAGUGAUGUUUCUGUAAUCAAAUUGUACAUUUUCAUUGUCUCAUUUGAUUUUGUUGCUUCAGCUUCUCUUGUGCACUUUCUUGAGUGCUGCAUUCCCUUCAGGGUAACAGGUUUCACUGACAGACGUGGCUCAGUCUAGAUCAUCACUCAGUACAGUUAUUCCUUGGCCUGACUUGGAUUUGGAUGUGUACACCAUGUCUUUGUCCAAAGUUUUAUGAACAUUCCCGAGCAAGCACAGCUCCCAAGCUCGCGCACUACUUGGCUUAGCCAUGGCAGGACACACUGACUAGAUACUUCCAGGUCUCCACAGCUCAGAGCAAUGUAUGUUCAGGUUAACAAUGUGGGGUGUUGCAACAUCAUCUAGUUCCUGUUGGAGACACAGGAUGCAUUUAACUAGGGAGAACAGGCUUUUAAAUCCCAAGGCCCUUGAGGGUCCCUUCAGGAACCAACAGGUGGCUUUUCCUUGUGUUCCUGCUGUCCAUGCUGGCACGAAGCUGGGGGAGAGGUGGUGGCUGUCCUGUCAGAGCAGAGCACGUGAGGCUGAACCAUGCGCAGGGACGCUGGGCAAGAGGUUUCCUGAGCUGCAUGGACCAUGGCUCUGGGAACCUGGCAAUACAGGCCCUGCUGUCCUGCUUUCAGUGCUUUUGAGGGGAUCCCAGAAAGCAGAGAAAGAAGAGUCCUCGCUACAUUGGUGAUGUUCCAGAGGCCCCAGAGGACUGAGUGUGUGAGUGCAUGUCAUGAGAGGGGACGUGUCCCAGGGGUAAUUUAGUUAUCAACCCCAUCGCUAACAUUUGGCCAAGCUGCUCCUACUAGGUCACAGCAACCCACUGUGUUGCUCUUCUUUGGAGGGAAGGGUGAGGCAAACCAAGGGGGGGGUGGUAUCACAGUCCUGACACCAACCUUCCUCUUACCCGUCCUAACAGCACAGAAGCUCUCCCGUGGGGCUGGUGAGACAUUUCUUAAAACUGCAAAGACAGUUGAUUAAUGACACACUGACAGGUAUCAGUCACUUGGAUCAAGUCUGACAACUCUGGAAGCACUGAAAUACAACUGUCCAGAACACAUGAAGCGGCUCACUUGUCCAUCUUCCCUUCGGUGGGUCUCUGGCCCUCUUGCCAUGCACAGUGAUGGUUUCAGGACUACACGCUUUAUUUUCCCUGGGAGUUUUGCCAGAAAAGGAGCAUACCAGGAACUACGUUAUAAAAGACUCACCCCCCGCGUACACAGGGAAGCCAAAGACCGUGCUCUUCUGUGUCUUAUGCUCUGAUGCACCUCCAGGCUUCCAACAACCACCUCCACCCCUCCCAAGUCCUUCUGAAGAACAGUUCUGCUUUUUGUAGGAUGAUCAUGGAUUAUUCCCCAAGCUAGGGAACACUACAGCUGGCAUUAAGAGGAUGAAUAUUCUUACAAAGACUUUAUCACCUUUGGAUCCCCAUGGUGAGUUUGCCCCGGGACAAGAGGGCUUUUAUUAAAAUGCAGUAGCAUGUAUGAAACGCUGACAUGUUUUGGUCUCACACCUAGUGAGAUAUGAGUGGCACAAACCCCUCACUAUUACUAGCAGUCCUAGAAAAAGCAAAUUCUAACCAUCUGAGAAACUGAAAACCCCUUCCUACCCUCCUUCUAGAAGAGGACUCGGGUACAAGGUGAGGCAAUGGCACAUCCUGCUUUUGCUCCACAGCUUCUGCUGACAAGAGUCCUACUGGCGCCGUAGCUCUCACUUUACCAUUUCCACAGUUAAGGUCCUUUCUAAAAUGCUACACAAAUGAAAGGAUAAGAAUCACAGUCAGACAUACAAAAUUUCAAAGUACUGCACUAAAUUCAGCUAAAGAAGGUCGUGUUUCUUUACAAAAUCAUUCUCUUAGCGCACUUAAAAAACCACGCAUUUUAGAACAGAAAAGUUACCACUGUAUUUACUGUAAAAAAGCCUUUUGCUUCAUCAGAGGAAAACUCACUUGGUAAGACAAGUGGCAUGGUUAUGUAAUUUUAAAAAUCUAAAUAUAUUUUAAACAAAUGUUGGAACCAGGUCUGGGGAAUACAACAUUCCAGGUUGAUUCAUUUUGAUUUUUGAUUUUCAUUUUGAUUUUUCUUUUCCACUGGUUGAUUCAUCUUUUUCAAAGAGGCCUGGAGAAAACCAAAGCAACUUACCUUCAAUGAUCCACGCUGCCACAUGGUCCAUCUGACCAGAUCUUGCACAAACUGCCCAGGGGUAACUGCAAAAUGUGGCUGUAGCUUGCAACUAGCUGUCAGCACACUGUGCUGUGGGGUUUGGCCAUACAUGGGGGUGUGUAAUAAAGAACUGGUUUCAAUUUUAUUUUGUUUGCGAUGCACCUUCCUUCAGUUGCCUGUGCUGUGACAAGGCAGGGAACAGACACGGCCAUGAAGCCUUCUCAGGGAGCUUCAGGACACAGGAAAAGGCACACACAUCUGUAAAAACUUUAUUUCAAAAUCUUUUUAUUCAAC